UACAGAGGGGGCAAGCGUUGUUCGGAAUUACUGGGCGUAAAGGGCGCGUAGGCGGCCUGCUAAGUCGAACGUGAAAUCCCCGGGCUCAACCCGGGAACUGCGUCCGAUACUGGGAGGCUUGAAUCCGGGAGAGGGAUGUGGAAUUCCAGGUGUAGCGGUGAAAUGCGUAGAUAUCUGGAGGAACACCGGUGGCGAAGGCGGCAUCCUGGACCGGUAUUGACGCUGAGGCGCGAAAGCCAGGGGAGCAAACGGG
rnacentral:rRNA from 1 species